rnacentral:rRNA from 1 species
UACAGAGGGUGCAAGCGUUGUUCGGAAUUAUUGGGCGUAAAGGGAGUGUAGGCGGCUUGUUAAGUCUUCUGUGAAAGCUACGGGCUUAGCCUGUAAAGUGCAGAGGAAACUGGCGAGCUUGAGUGUCGGAGAGGGUAGCGGAAUUCCCGGUGUAGAGGUGAAAUUCGUAGAGAUCGGGAGGAACACCAGGUGGCGAAGGCGGCUCACUGGCCCGAUACUGACGCUGAGGCACGAAAGCGUGGGAGCAACAGGG